GUAGGAGGCGAGCGUUGUCCGGAAUUACUGGGUGUAAAGCGCGUGUAGGCGGCAGGCUCAGUCUGUUGUGAAAUCGCCCGGCUCAACUGGGCGGGGUCAAUGGAAACUAGCCAGCUGGAGGACGGUAGAGGGGCAUGGAAUUCCCGGUGUAGUGGUGAAAUGCGUAGAGAUCGGGAGGAACACCCGUGGCGAAGGCGGUGCCCUGGGCCGGUCCUGACGCUGAGACGCGAAGGCGUGGGGAGCGAACGGGAUUAGAUACCCCGGUAGUCCACGCAGUAAACGAUGCACACUAGGUGUGGGGGGUAUCGAGCCCCUCCGUGCCGCAGCUAACGCAGUAAGUGUGCCACCUGGGGAGUACGGCCGCAAGGUUAAA
rnacentral:rRNA from 1 species